AUUGCCUGUAACAUAUUUCUUUGAACAACCGUUAAAGCUCUUUAAUCAGUAUCCUUUUCCUUUUCCGAUUCUAUGUUUCUUGUCAUUAUGGAAGGAGAGUUUCUUUACUCUUCAAGGUAUUAUCUGAAGACGUCUCUCAAGCUCCAAGUUCAUGAAGAAUAUUUAUGAAGAUGGCAAAAAGAAGAAGUGAAACAAGUCACAAGAAGAUCUCAUACAAGAACUCAACAAUAGGAAGUUGCUUGGCGAUUCGAAAGGUGAGAUGCCAACACAUCAUUAUGCGAGAUAAUUUCCUAAAAGACAAGAGUGGUAGUUGGAUCUGAUGUGACAGGAAACGUCUACUUUCUAUGUUGACAAUUUUAGAAAGGAUGGAUGUGCAGUGUAGCAUAAUUAAUUUCUUGCCUAAGUAUGCUUAUAAAAGACUCCAUCUCCACCAUAAGCAAGGGAUCUAAGGAGGUUCUCCCUUAAAGAAGAUCGGUGAAAGGAUGAGUUUUAGAGUCUUUCUCCAUCUUUAGUAGUAGUUCUUCGUCUUCCAUGUCUGCUCUAAUCUACAUAUGAGUGGGAGCUUAGAGAGAGAUUAUAGAGGAAAAACUCACCCACAGUUUACUUUCCAUUUUUCUAUUUUGUAAUGUCUUAUUUGACUAUAAGAUUCUCAUGACCGAGAUGCCUACAUUUAUCAAUACAUGUGUAUGUUUAUCCACU